AGCGAACGCUGGCGGCAGGCCUAACACAUGCAAGUCGAACGAAGCCUUCGGGCUUAGUGGCGGACGGGUGAGUAACACGUGGGAACGUACCUUUUGGUUCGGAACAACUCAGGGAAACUUGAGCUAAUACCGGAUGAGCCCUUAGGGGGAAAGAUUUAUUACCGAAAGAGCGAACCGCGUUAGAUUAGCUAGUUGGUGAGUUAAAGGCUCAACAAGGCAAAGAUCUAUAGCUGGUCUGAGAGGAUGAACAGCCACACUGGGACUGAGCCACGGCCCAGACUCCUACGUGAGGCAGAAGGGGGUAAUCUUGCGCAAUGGUAGAAAGCCUGACGCAGCCAUGCCGCGUGAAUGAUGAAGGUCUUAGGAUUGUAAAAUUCUUUUACCAGGGACGAUAAUGACGGUACCUGGACAAAAAGCCCCGGCUAACUUCGUGCCAGCCGCCGCCGUAACAC
rnacentral:rRNA from 1 species